UACGGAGGGUGCAAGCGUUAAUCGGAUUUACUGGGCGUAAAGAGUGCGUAGGUGGUUUAAUAAGUUAUCUGUGAAAGACCUGGGCUCAACCUGGGAAGGUCAGAUAAAACUGUUAGACUUUGAGUAUGGGAGAGGGUAGUGGAAUUUCCGGUGUAGCGGUGAAAUGCGUAGAGAUCGGAAGGAACACCAGUGGCGAAGGCGGCUACCUGGCCUAAUACUGACACUGAGGCACGAAAGCGUGGGGAGCAAACAGG
rnacentral:rRNA from 1 species